GGAAAGAUCUUCUAAACAGCGGUUUAACCCUUUUAUGCUGAGGGUGCCGUUACAGAGAGGUCUGGGGAAAUCCUUGGCAUUUCUUCUCACAGUGCUGCAGGCCAGUGUCUGCAAACCAUAACGAAUUUUAACCCCUUAAAGACACAUGACAUGUGUGACAUGUCAUGAUUCCCUUUUAUUCCAGAAGUUUGGUCCUUAAGGGGUUGAACAAGUGGACACUGCUAUAAAAUUUUUCCACAUAAAGGAUGUAACCUUUAUUGAACAAGGGGAUCAGUAGGUCCCAAACAAGUUUCCCACUUGUGCCCAGAGAGUCAGGAAAGCCAGGAGGGUCCAGUUGACCAGAUUUCCCCUCAUAUACACGAAAGGCAAAUGUAUAGCCACUUUCGC